UUCGUUUCCUCAUCCGAAGGAGGAGAAGAAAAGCAAACAGGUGUCUCCCCCUCUCUGCCCUGCACACAAAUUUUGAAUUUUUCGCGCUGAGAUUUCGCUGGUCCGCCGUUCCUUGCUGCUCCGGCGUUCGUCAAGCGGCCAUCCCCAGCCAUCGCCGACGAAGCACAUUAAGGCCACCCCCUGCUCCGACGAAGCAAAGGUCUCCCUCGUCUUCGCUCUCAGCUCCGGCGUUCGUCAAGCUCUCGUUCCUCUGCCCUCGCCGACGAAGCACAUUAAGGCCACCCCUGCUCCGACGAAGCAAAGGUCUCCCUCAUCUUCGCUCUCAGCUCCGGCGUUCGUCAAGCGGUCGUUCCUCCGCCCUCGCCGACAAUGCACAUUAAGGCCACCCCUGCUCCGACGAAGCAAAGGUCUCCCUCUCUUGCGAUCCGACGCUCGCUCGCUCGCUCGCUGCUCCAGCGUUCGUCAAGUGGCUGUUCCCCCACCGUCGCCGACGAAGCACAUUAAGGCCACCCCUGCUCCGAUGAAGCUCCAGUGUAUUCAGUCUGCCCACGUUACAAGGAAAAUAUUCAGGUUCAUCUGCUUUGAGAGCAGUUUGCCGCUUUCUACUUUCUUGGCUUAUACUCUAUCAUUUCAAGCAGACUGUAUUACCAGUUUUUCCGAAUUAGAUGUGCAGCUGGUAAAUUUAUUUUGACAGCAGUUUCCCAGAGUCGACUAUAUAACUCACUUUUUCAUUACUGCAGUUUAUUUUCUCCACUGCCAUUGAUGGUAAGAUAAAAGCUUGGCUGUAUGAUUGCCUUGGAUCUAGAGUGGACUAUGAUCCUCCCGGUUUUGCAAGGGGCAGAAAUAUUGUUAUACCCAACUGUUAUUGGUUCUGAACCACAGGAUGAAGCACGUUAAGGUCGCCCCUGCUUCGACGCUCACUCCGUCCUUGCUCCGGCGCUCGUUCGAAAAAAUCCGGCGCUCGCCGCUCUCUGCUCCAUUGCUCUCUUCUCGCCUCCCCAUGAAGCUGGAGCUGUCAGCCUCCCCAAAGACUAGAUUUUCUCUUCUAUCACGGAGGUUGAGAAGACGAUUGACCACGUUCAGGAAGUGAGCUCGGGAUUUUUAAACACUGCACAGAGUAUUUUCCAAAUUGUUGCAGAUGCUCUGAAACCGGGUGUAGAUGUUGCGGCUUCAUUGUUGCAGAAAGCUGGAGAACUCCCCAGCUCUUUUCGAGGCUUCAAAGAAAGCCCAAGAAGCAAUGCAGAGCUCAGGCAUUGAUGCACAGCCUAUCAUGAGUGCUGCAAAGGUUUCUCCCUUGCAUAAGUUUCACAGUUUGUAUGCUUUGUCCCAACCACAGUUUGUAACAACAAAUGCGAAAUCACGGUUUCAGCAGAUCCCAUUAUACUCUUAUGAUAUGCUAGAAUAGGCUGAACAUGAACUACUCAUUCUUUCUAAAGCCAUUGUUAUUUGAGAUGGGUUCUUAAUGCCAUCCUAGGUUUUAAUUCACUGGUCUGAGUAUACCGUUUUGUACUUGCGAGGUCAGCACGUUGUUUUUUCACUUACACGUACUAAUCUUACUUUUAUUUUUCUUUUUUAUCGAAGAUGUCUUGAUCUGCAGAUUAAGAAGGCGCUCGCCUCGGCCUCCGGAGAGCCCCAUUGGCAUCUUUUCCUCCAGGAGCCCUGCCAUCGUGACCUUCGUGCUCGUGAAGGCCAAGCAAGAUGAACUGAAGAACACUGAUGAGAGGAUACAGGGAUUGAGGCAUAAUGUGCAGCAGUCAGAUGUCUUUCUUGUUUGUGUAUUAUUUGAUCUUUUAUUAGGACUACUUGUCAAGAAAGAAUAGAUGGUUGGAACUUGUAAUUUUGAUAGCUUAAAUCAAAGGCUCAGCUAUUCCCCCCUC